UACGGGGGGGGCAAGCGUUGUUCGGAAUUACUGGGCGUAAAGGGCGCGUAGGCGGCCUGCUAAGUCACACGUGAAAUCCCCCGGCUCAACCGGGGGACUGCGUGUGAUACUGGCGGGCUUGAAUUCGGGAGAGGGAUGUGGAAUUCCAGGUGUAGCGGUGAAAUGCGUAGAUAUCGGGAGGAACACCAGUGGCGAAGGCGACUACCUGGCCUGUUUCUUGACGCUGAGGCGCGAAAGCUAGGGGAGCAAACGGG
rnacentral:rRNA from 1 species